UACGAAGGGGGCGAGCGUUGUUCGGAUUUACUGGGCGUAAAGGGCGCGCAGGCGGCGAUCUUUGUCAGGCGUGAAAGCCCCGGGCUUAACCUGGGAACUGCGCUUGGGACGGGAUUGCUGGAGACCGGGAGAGGUGAGUGGAAUUCCGAGUGUAGAGGUGAAAUUCGUAGAUAUUCGGAAGAACACCAGUGGCGAAGGCGGCUCACUGGACUGGUAUUGACGCUGAGGUGCGAAAGCGUGGGGAGCAAACAGG
rnacentral:rRNA from 1 species